CAGCAGCCGCGGGAAUACGAAGGGUGCAAGCGUUACUCGGAAUUACUGGGCGUAAAGCGUGCGUAGGUGGUUGUUUAAGUCUGCUGUGAAAGCCCUGGGCUCAACCUGGGAAUUGCAGUGGAUACUGGGCGACUAGAGUAAGGUAGAGGAUAGUGGAAUUUCCGGUGUAGCAGUGAAAUGCGUAGAGAUCGGAAGGAACAUCUGUGGCGAAGGCGACUAUCUGGGCCAUUACUGACACUGAGGCACGAAAGCGUGGGGAGCAAACAGGAUUAGAUACCCCCGUAGUCCCUGUCUCUUAUAC
rnacentral:rRNA from 1 species